ACACCCUCAAGCUCUGCUUGGUGUUGGGCGCCUGUCCCGCUCCCGCAGCGCGGACUCGCCUCAAAGUCAUUGGCGGCGGUCGUGCCGGCCCCUCGCGCAGCACAUAUGCGCUUCUCGGAGGCCCGGCGGAUCAGCGCUCCAGCAAGACACCUUCAUG
rnacentral:misc_RNA from 1 species